rnacentral:rRNA from 1 species
CCUACGGGCGGCAGCAGUGGGGAAUAUUGGACAAUGGGGGGAACCCUGAUCCAGCCAUGCCGCGUGUGUGAAGAAGGCCCUCGGGUUGUAAAGCACUUUCAGUGAGGAAGAACGCCUGGUGGUUAAUACCCAUCAGGAAAGACAUCACUCACAGAAGAAGCACCGGCUAACUCCGUGCCAGCAGCCGCGGUAAUACGGAGGGUGCGAGCGUUAAUCGGAAUUACUGGGCGUAAAGCGCGCGUAGGUGGCUUGAUAAGCCGGUUGUGAAAGCCCCGGGCUCAACCUGGGAACGGCAUCCGGAACUGUCAAGCUAGAGUGCAGGAGAGGAAGGUAGAAUUCCCGGUGUAGCGGUGAAAUGCGUAGAGAUCGGGAGGAAUACCAGAGGCGAAGGCGGCCUUCUGGACUGACACUGACACUGAGGUGCGAAAGCGUGGGUAGCAAACAGGAUUAGAUACCCCUGUAGUC